ACCACCGGGUAGACAUUCAUC
rnacentral:miRNA from 1 species